ACCGCUGGGGGCGCCGAAAGGCUGAGAUGGGCAACUGCCCGGUCCCUUGGAACCUGAAGUGGAUAAUCCCACCGUAGGGAAGCGGAA
rnacentral:ncRNA from 1 species